rnacentral:rRNA from 1 species
CGCGGCCUAUCAGCUUGUUGGUGGGGUAAUGGCCUACCAAGACGACGACGGGUAGCCGGCCUGAGAGGGCGACCGGCCACACUGGGACUGAGACACGGCCCAGACUCCUACGGGAGGCAGCAGUAGGGAAUCUUGCGCAAUGGGGGCAACCCUGACGCAGCAACGCCGCGUGUGGGAUGACGGCUUUCGGGUUGUAAACCACUUUCAGUGAUGACGAAAAUGACGGUAAUCACAGAAGAAGGUCCGGCCAACUACGUGCCAGCAGCCGCGGUAACACGUAGGGACCGAGCGUUGUCCGGAUUUAUUGGGCGUAAAGAGCUCGUAGGCGGUUCUGUAAGUCGGAUGUGAAAACUCAGGGCUCAACCCUGAGACGCCAUCUGAUACUGCAGUGACUAGAGUCCGGUAGAGGAAGAUGGAAUUCCUGGUGUAGCGGUGGAAUGCGCAGAUAUCAGGAGGAACACCAACGGCGAAGGCAGUCUUCUGGGCCGGUACUGACGCUGAGGAGCGAAAGCAUGGGGAGCAAACAGGAUUAGAUACCCUGGUAGUCCAUGCCGUAAACGUUGGGCACUAGGUGUGGGGUCUUCUAACGGAUUCCGUGCCGUAGCUAACGCAUUAAGUGCCCCGCCUGGGGAGUACGG